rnacentral:rRNA from 1 species
GUGGGGAAUUUUGGACAAUGGGGGCAACCCUGAUCCAGUAAUGCCGCGUGAGUGAAGAAGGCCUUCGGGUUGUAAAGCUCUUUUGUCAGGGAAGAAACGGUUCUGGCUAAUAUCCGGAGCUAAUGACGGUACCUGAAGAAUAAGCACCGGCUAACUACGUGCCAGCAGCCGCGGUAAUACGUAGGGUGCGAGCGUUAAUCGGAAUUACUGGGCGUAAAGCGUGCGCAGGCGGUUGUGCAAGACAGAUGUGAAAUCCCCGGGCUCAACCUGGGAAUUGCAUUUGUGACUGCACGGCUAGAGUGUGUCAGAGGGGGGUAGAAUUCCACGUGUAGCAGUGAAAUGCGUAGAGAUGUGGAGGAAUACCGAUGGCGAAGGCAGCCCCCUGGGAUAACACUGACGCUCAUGCACGAAAGCGUGGGGAGCAAAC